rnacentral:misc_RNA from 1 species
GAUGAAGAACGCAGCGAAAUGCGAUAAGUAAUGUGAAUUGCAGAAUUCAGUGAAUCAUCGAAUCUUUGAACGCACAUUGCGCCCGCCAGUAUUCUGGCGGGCAUGCCUGUUCGAGCGUCAUUUCAACCAUCAAGCCCCAGGCUUGCGUUGGGGACCUGCGGCUGCCGCAGGCCCUGAAAACCAGUGGCGGGCUCGCUGUCACACCGGGCGUAGUAGAUUUUAUCUCGCUCAGGGCGUGCUGCGGGUUCCGGCCGUUAAAAAGCCUUUUUUACCCAAGGUUGACCUCGGAUCAGGUAGGAAGACCCGCUGAACUUAAGCAUAUCAAUAAGCGGAGGA